GUGGAUUAGAUACCCUGGUAGUCCACGCUGUAAACGAUGAAUACUAGGUGUGGGGGGACUGACCCCUUCCGUGCCGCAGUUAACACAAUAAGUAUUCCACCUGGGGAGUACGGUCGCAAGACUGAAACUCAAAGGAAUUGACGGGGGCCCGCACAAGCAGUGGAUUAUGUGGUUUAAUUCGACGCAACGCGAAGAACCUUACCGGGAUUUGACAUCCUACUAACGAAGUAGAGAUACAUUAGGUGCCCUUCGGGGAAAGUAGAGACAGGUGGUGCAUGGUCGUCAGCU
rnacentral:rRNA from 1 species